GUGGAGGUUGGUCAGGUCUGGUGCGUUUAGUUUUCGGGGUCGUAUCGCGAGCGUCCCAGCUUGUUUUUUCAGCUUCAGGGUGGUUCCAGCUGUCCCAGCCUUGAUCAUCUGCGUGGACGCCCCUCCGAAUGUCUGGGACUUCCUUACCCGACGGAAGUAGCGAGUCCGGUUCAAAUCCCGAUGCAGCCAUUUAACUGGCCACGUGCCCCCCACGAUGACCAUCACCUUCCAAGUUACUCUGAUUUGAAGUGAGGGUGAGGAGUUUUACCGAUUGGACAUGUCUCCCAGACAGGUCACUCCCGUUCCCAUAUACACUCUGCUGGAAAAAUGUGACGCCCUUACUAUUCGUCAAGGGAUGAUAGCAGAACC